UACAGAGGUGGCAAGCGUUGUUCGGAAUCACUGGGCUUAAAGCGCGUGUAGGCGGCUGCGCAAGUACUUGGUGAAAGCCCCCGGCUCAACCGGGGAAGUGCCAGGUAUACUGCGUGGCUUGAGGCGAUUAGGGGUGCCUGGAACUCUAGGUGGAGCGGUGAAAUGCGUAGAUAUCUAGAGGAACGCCCGUGGCGAAAGCGGGGCACUGGAAUCGUUCUGACGCUGAGACGCGAAAGCGUGGGGAGCAAACAGG
rnacentral:rRNA from 1 species